AUGUUUCUCAUUUGCUUUUGCUUCCUGCUCCUCCCCUCUUCCUCCUCCAUCGCCAUCUUCAUCACCCCGCCCUCUGUUGUCGUUUGUCCUCGCCGCCCUCCUCGCCGCUGCCAGAAACCGGCCAAGGGGAAGCCCCCCGCCAAGCCCAAACCAAAGCCGAAGCAGCCCCAGAAACGCCAGCUCGCCAGCACGGCGCCCGCCUACGCCGCCAAGACCGGCCCCAAAAACGGCUCCAAGUACCCCGCCAACGGGAAGUCCGGCGCGAAGGCCGGCAGCACCAAGGCGACCACGAAAAAACCCCUGGGCAAAUCGGGGGGCCAGGCCCACGCUGGCGCCGUCGGAGCCCGGAAGCCGGGGAACGGCUACCAGCAGGCCGUCCGAGGAGCCAGAGGCUACAAAGGAGAGAAGGGAGAGCCGGCCGUCUUCGAACCCGUAAGUUCCUGGAGGGGAAGGGGGUCCUGCCUUGGCCUGGCCUGGACAGGUGUGUGUGUGUCAUUUUGGACUGUGUGUGUGUGAGAGAGAGAAAAUUCAGCAUUGUGGACGCCAUCUUUCCAAAGGUGAACAGCCCCCAUACAAAAUGUUGCUCAGCCUUUUUUGGGCAAAGUUGCCGAACCUUUUUAGCAAAGACAUUUUUUCCGGUUUUUGAAAAUUCCACCGUUUCCGAGGGGCGAAUCCCGGCUACGUCCGGGGUAUUCCAGAUGUGGGGCAGCCCCUCCAAACAUCGGGCAGUCUAGGCAGGCUGCAACGGACUCCUGUCUCCUUGAGGUCUCCUCCAUCUCCACAAUUCCACGAUAGAUGCAAAUACAGUGGUACCUUGGUUCACAACCGUAAUCCGUUCCGGAGGUCCGUUCGUAAAUCAAAACAGGUUGCGACCCAAGGCGCGCUUUCGCCAAUAGGGCCUCCAAAAAGAAAUUGUUCGUAAUCAAAAAAAAAAGAGAGUUGCAAUCCAAAAAAAGUUUGCAAACCGGGACACGGGUUUGACGUGUUUGUAAUCCAAACCAUGCAAACCAGAGUGUUCGCGAACCGAGGUACCACUGUAGAAAGGAGCUCGCUUGGAGGGCUCCCAAAUCCUGCAAUAUCUCUCCGCUACCUAAUCUGCACGACCUCCUUCCCCGUUUUGCACAAGUCCGUCUGUUGUGCGCAAGGCCUGGUUUUCCCAAAGCCCGACCCCUGGAAGGAGGCACGUCCAGCCAACUCCGGCACCGUCGGUUCGAAGAAUUGUUGAGUUGGAGGGGGACUGCCAAAGGUCAUCUAGCCCAACCCCCCGCCGUGCUGCCCCGACGCUUUGCCUCCAUGAGGUCUAGCGGCUUGCUUCUGCCCCACCCAGGUCUCAAAAUUUUGAGAUUGUGGCAAAGGCCGGCCAGACUCCUCAAAUGGAAGCCAGCGGGAUCUGAACCACAAGACUCUCUCCCCAGUUUCCAGCAAUUAUUCCAGAGAUUAUUCAGAGGCCUUUCUGGAAAACACAGCCCACGGUGGCUCUUGAUAAGCAUAUUUUCCUCCACGAAUCGGAUGAAUCCAGUAAUACAUCUUUCAUGUCCCUGUAGGUUUUAAUUUAAUAUUGGGAAGGUAGCUCGUUUAGGGGACAGAAAACUCUGACCCUAAACCUCCACUGUCCUGCAGAGAAGAAAAGGCUCAGGAGUAAACCUGACACAAAUCCGAGUCCCUAAGACGGUUGUGGAGUUGGAUGGGACCUCCAAAGAUCAUUCAGUCCAACCCCCUGCAAGGCAGGGUUCCCAUUGGCUCCGGUUGUUUCCAUUCAUUUCACAGGCUGCGUUGAGUACAUCCCUGAGUGCACAAAACCAGGAUGCAAACGGCUCAGUUUGGAAUUGAAAAUAAAUCUCUGCAAGCGUGGGGGGGCUUCCAUUUUGCUCCCCCCGCCCAGUAACUGCAGGACUGGGAGCCCUUUUUGCACCAGCAGUUGCCCCGGAAUAACAUCCCCUCCAAAGACCACCCCCUCCAAGUUCUACCUUCUUUGCAAGCUCCCAAGGCAGGAGGGGAAUCUGAGGCCUCACCAGCAGAUCUCGGCAGGAUCGGGGCCUCUCGGCUCCUUUUGGGCGGCCUUCAGAAUUCCCCGGAGAAUGGGGCUGACCUCUGAGCGACCGUGCAAGGCAGCCAUCCAACCGGCGGAGCUGCGAUGCCCCAGAGUUCUCGGGUUUUUGGGUAGCGUUAUCGUCUCCGCAUAGCGCGCUGGGUGUGUGUUGGUGGGGAGGGGGGGAGAAUAGCCGGUGGUGGGGUAAACAAUGAGCUCUUUCACGGGCGAGAGCAGAGGGACGGGGCCUGUCCCUCUGCCAAGGCAGGUCUGCGGCUGCUUCCUAACUCCUUCUUUUUGCAUGUGUUUGUGCCUCUGCAGGGGAUGCUGGUCGAAGGUCCCCCAGGCCCCGAAGGAGCUCCGGUAAGAGGCGUGCAGAACCCCGGGGUGGGGGUUUAAGGGGGCGAACGAGGCCUCCACCCCAUCUCAUGCCCCCUGUCCGGUGGGCAAGGGUGAUGGUCUUCUGUUCCUCCUUCCCCACAGGGUAUCAGCGGACCACCAGGGACCACGGGACCCCCAGGACCCCCCGGCGACUCUGGGGAGAGGGUAAGGCUGCGAUCCGGCGAAGGAGAGGGGAGAGUGAAGGGCAUGUGGUGAAGGAGGUGCCAUAG
ensembl:lncRNA